AUUCCAGCUCUAAGAGAGUAUAUUAAAGUUGCUGCGAUUAAAAGCUCGUAGUUGGAUUUCAAUCUAGGAAGGUUAACUCGCCGAAAGGUUGUACGUUGAUUUUCCCCAAACUUCGCUAGAAGCUCGUGCUGCACUUAACCGUGUGGUACGAUGUGCUGACCUUCUACCUUGAGGGAAGUCGAAUGUUUCAGGCAGGCUACCCAGCUUGAAUACAUUAGCAUGUAAUAAUGAAAUGGAUUUCGGUUCGAUUCCGUUGGUUCUAGAGCUGAGGUGAUGAUCAAUAGGAACAGGCGAGGGUAUUCGUAUUUGAGAAUGAGGAGUGAAAUCCGAUGACUUCGUAAAGGCGAUCCGAGGCGAAACCAUUGCCAAGGAUGUAUUCAUUA
rnacentral:rRNA from 1 species